UUACAAACCGAGAAGUGAAAAAUAAUGUUAUCACCCUAUUCAAAGGGUCGAAAGAGUCUUGUUUGGAGUUGUCUGUGGUUGAAUAGUUAUGUUUGUAAUAUUUCAGAAGUUGACAGAAAAAAAAAAUUAAAAAAAAAAUAGAAAAAGAAAAAAAUGAAUGGAAAAAAAAUAAAAGGAUGUCAAUACAUACUCCUUCUGAAAAAGAAAAAAAAAAGAAAAAAAGAGAAAUGAGAAGAGAAAGUAGUUGCUAUAGAGUUGUUGAAGUGAAUGAAAUCUUUUGUAAAUUCAACUCCCGCAGUUUUUUUCAAGUCUCUUUUGUAUCUUUGAAUUUUAGCCUAGUACCCCCUUAGGAUUU
rnacentral:lncRNA from 1 species